rnacentral:rRNA from 1 species
AUACGAAGGGGGCUAGCGUUGUUCGGAAUUACUGGGCGUAAAGCGCACGUAGGCGGACAUUUGAGUCAGGGGUGAAAUCCCGGGGCUCAACCCUGGAACUGCCUUUGAUACUGGGUGACUUGAGUACGAGAGAGGUGAGUGGAAUUCCGAGUGUAGAGGUGAAAUUCGUAGAUAUUCGGAAGAACACCAGUGGCGAAGGCGGCUCACUGGCUCGUAACUGACGCUGAGGUGCGAAAGCGUGGGGAGC